AGAGUUUGAUCCUGGCUCAGAAUGAACGCUGGCGGCGUGCUUAACACAUGCAAGUCGUACGAGAACUCUUCUGCUUGCAGAAGAUAGUAAAGUGGCGCACGGGUGAGUAACGCGUGGGUAAUCUACCUCCGAAUCGGGGAUAACCCGCCGAAAGGCGAGCUAAUACCGGAUAAUAUCUUUAAAACUUCGGUUUCUAAGAUCAAAGGUGGUCUCUACAUGUAAGCUACUGUUUGGAGAUGAGCCCGCGUACCAUUAGCUUGUUGGUAGGGUAACGGCCUACCAGGGCUACGAUGGUUAGCUGGUCUGAGAGGAUGAUCAGCCACACUGGAACUGACACACGGUCCAGACUCCUACGGGAGGCAGCAGUGAGGAAUUUUGCGCAAUGGGGGAAACCCUGACGCAGCAACGCCGCGUGAGUGAUGAAGGCCUUCGGGUCGUAAAGCUCUGUCAAGUGGGAAGAACCCAUCCUGUGGUAAUAUCACAGGAUGCUGACGGUACCACUGAAGGAAGCACCGGCUAACUCCGUGCCAGCAGCCGCGGUAAUACGGGGGGUGCAAGCGUUAUUCGGAUUCACUGGGCGUAAAGGGCGCGUAGGCGGCCUUGAAAGUCAAGUGUGAAAGCCCGGGGCUCAACCCCGGAAGUGCACUUGAAACUGCAGGGCUUGAGUAUGGGAGAGGGAAGUGGAAUUCCUGGUGUAGAGGUGAAAUUCGUAGAU
rnacentral:rRNA from 1 species